GUGCUCACUUUGACAGCACAUAUACUAAAAUUAGAAUGAUGCAAAGAAGAUUAGCAUGGUCCCUGCCCAAGGAUGAUGCUUAGAUUCUUGAAGUGUUUUGUUUUUUU